CUGUCCGAGUGCCUCCAUGUGUCAACAAGCCAAGCCGGACAGUUUAUUGAAAGCUUCCUCCAGAAGUACAAGGAAGUGCGCACAUUCACUCAGAGAACCAUACAGCAGUGCCACCAACGAGGUCACGUUGUUUCAAUUAUGGGGCGCAAGAGAUCGUUCCUUCUCAUCAACUCACAAGACUACAGUGCCCGAAAUCAAGCAGAGAGACAGGCCAUCAACUUUGUAGUUCAAGGUUCUGCAGCUGAUAUUUGUAAGAUGGCAAUGAUUAAGAUUUUCAUGAGCAUUGCUUCCUCCUCC